GAUGGUUACUCGAAGCCUGUCUCAUGCAGUCGAGCGGAAACGACAACAUUGAUUCUUCGGAGGAUUUGUUGGGCGUCGAGCGGCGGACGGGUGAGUAAUGCCUAGGAAAUUGCCUUGAUGUGGGGGAUAACCAUUGGAAACGAUGGCUAAUACCGCAUAAUGCCUACGGGCCAAAGAGGGGGACCUUCGGACCUCUCGCGUCAAGAUAUGCCUAGGUGGGAUUAGCUAGUUGGUGAGGUAAUGGCUCACCAAGGCGACGAUCCCUAGCUGGUCUGAGAGGAUGAUCAGCCACACUGGAACUGAGACACGGUCCAGACUCCUACGGGAGGCAGCAGUGGGGAAUAUUGCACAAUGGGCGAAAGCCUGAUGCAGCCAUGCCGCGUGUAUGAAGAAGGCCUUCGGGUUGUAAAGUACUUUCAGUUGUGAGGAAGGGUGUGUAGUUAAUAGCUGCGCAUCUUGACGUUAGCAACAGAAGAAGCACCGGCUAACUCCGUGCCAGCAGCCGCGGUAAUACGGAGGGUGCGAGCGUUAAUCGGAAUUACUGGGCGUAAAGCGCAUGCAGGUGGUUCAUUAAGUCAGAUGUGAAAGCCCGGGGCUCAACCUCGGAACUGCAUUUGAAACUGGUGAACUAGAGUGCUGUAGAGGGGGG
rnacentral:rRNA from 1 species